rnacentral:miRNA from 14 species
UGUGUGUGUGUGUGAGUGUGUGCGUGCCUCUCUUUNAAAGAGAGGCACGCACACACUCACACACACACACA